rnacentral:misc_RNA from 1 species
UUGCUCUGCAUGUCGGGGUUCCCCGCACAUUGGUGCGGCCAACCGACAUGGGGCUGUCUCUUCACUAUCCCUCCUGUCAUUGAAUUUGUCGGGGUUGGGAUGCUUGUGAUCGGUUGCCUGUGUGGUUCUACCCUCUUGUGGGUAGCGAAGUCGUCCCUGGAUGGAUAUCUGCUUGCCCUGCUGACAUUGUUUUGUCGCUUGGGCAGCCGAAAUGUUGGUGAAAUCCUUGUGUUACUGCGUGGCCGAAUGCCUCGUUGCUAUCACUUGGAUUUUUGCCGGCUCUCACGGAGCGGUGCCUAUUGCUAGCUCUACGGGCCUCUGUCCCGCAGACUUCGGGAGGUCCCUUGUACGGAUCGUUGCUCUAAUGCUCGUUGGUCGUGUUGCCUGUGGCGGCACGCAAAUAAGUUUUGUCGUGUUGUCAGUGGCGACGCGUCAAAACUGAGGGUACGGAGCAUAUGCUGAUGUGCAUGUGGAGUGCCUCUCCGUUUGUAUGAAGCAGCGAUUUCCGGUUUGCGUCAUGCGAAGGCCCUCCCGUCCGGGUUGGUGCUGGAGC